rnacentral:rRNA from 1 species
GAUGAAUGCUAGCUACAGGCUUAACACAUGCAAGUCGAGGGGUAACGAGAGGAAAGCUUGCUUUCCUUGUCGACGACCGGCGCACGGGUGAGUAACGCGUAUCCAACCUGCCCCCAACUAGGGAAUAACCUUGCGAAAGUAAGACUAAUACCCUAUAAUUUCCUCAGAUGACAUCUGACGAGGAAUAAAGAUUUAUCGGUUGUGGAUGGGGAUGCGUCUGAUUAGCUUGUUGGCGGGGUAACGGCCCACCAAGGCAACGAUCAGUAGGGGUGCUGAGAGGAAGGUCCCCAUCAUUGGAACUGAGACACGGUCCAAAAUGCAACGGGAGGCAGCAGUGAGGAAUAUUGGUCAAUGGGCGGAAGCCUGAACCAGCCAAGUAGCGUGCAGGAUGACGGCCCUAUGGGUUGUAAACUGCUUUUAUACAGGAAUAAAGUUAGCCACGUGUGGUUAUUUGUAGGUACUGUAUGAAUAAGGACCGGCUAAUUCCGUGCCAGCCGCCGCAGUAA